AUUCUAGUAGCUUAGUGGUUGGAGUAUCAGUCUCCAACUCUAAAGUACUCGGGUUUGAAUCCCGCCAAUGAUA
rnacentral:tRNA from 1 species